GACGAACGCUGGCGGCGUGCUUAACACAUGCCAGUCGAACGGUGAAGCGCCUUCCUUUUUGGUGGGUGUGGAUGAGUGGCGAACGGGUGAGUAACACGUGAGUAACCUGCCCCCUUCUUCUGGAUAACCGCAUGAAAGUGUGGCUAAUACGGGAUAUUCUGGGUCUGUCGCAUGAUGGGUCUGGGAAAGAUAUUGUUUCGGUGGGGGAUGGGCUCGCGGCCUAUCAGCUUGUUGGUGGGGUGAUGGCCUACCAAGGCGGUGACGGGUAGCCGGCCUGAGAGGGAGGGCGGGAGGAGGGGGGCAGAGACGCGCACGGGACUCAGGCGGGAGGCAGCGGGGGGGAGUGGGGGAUGGUGGGGGUCGGGCGGAUGCCGCGUCGCGGCGGGGGGGCGGGCGUCCGUCGGUUGGGGGUGGGUUUUCGGUAGUGAAGCAGGCCGGGCUGGUUUGUGGGGGGGUUGACGGUAGCUGGAUAAGAAGCGCCGGCUAACUACGUG
rnacentral:rRNA from 1 species